rnacentral:lncRNA from 1 species
UACGGCCACUGAUUUUAUUAAGAAAAAAAUCCGCGGUCACAUUGUAUUUAAUGUUAAUAAUCAUAGGUCAAAGUACGGCCUUCAAGACGGAGCCUUGGCUCAACCCGAACAGCAAUCUCAGCUUGUUUUUGCAUAAAAUUGCUUCCAGGUUCAAGCAAUACUGAUGUUUCUUAAAGUAAGGAAAUCGAAGGAAAACGGGUAAUUUUUAGCCAUUUUACUGAGAGAAAAAAAAUCGGCGGAUCUAGGGGCCUCAAUCGGCGGUCCCCAAACCCCUGCCUCCCCUGAAUUCGAACCCUAGUUAUGUCCCUG